GACGAACGCUGGCGGCGUGCUUAAUACAUGCAAGUAGAACGCUGAAGGAGGAGUUUGCUCUUCUGGUUGAGUUGCGAACGGGUGAGUAACGCGUAGGUAACCUGCCCGGUAGUGGGGGAUAACUAUUGGAAACGAUAGCUAAUACCGCAUAACAGCUGCUGUUGCAUGAUAUUUGCUUAAAAGGUUCAAUUGUUCCACUACCAGACGGACCUGCUUGGUUUUAGCUAGUUGGUGGGGUAACAGCUCACCUAGGCGACGAUACAUAGCCGAGCGGAGAGGGGGUACGGCCACUCUGGGACUGACACACGACCCUGGGACCGACGGGAGGCAGCGGUAGGGAAGCUACGGCGAAGGGCGGAAGACUGACCGAUCGGCGGAGCGUGGAUGAAGAAAGGUUGCGGAUCGUAAAGCGCUGUUGUAGGAGAAGAACGAGUGUGAGAGUGAAGAAUUCACUGUGACGGUAACUGAUCAAGAAGGGACGGCUAACUACGUG
rnacentral:rRNA from 1 species